rnacentral:rRNA from 1 species
GUGCAAAGUGCCUUCUAUAAUAUACUUGACGGUUUGGAGCUUGCACUGGAAAAGGAUAGUGUCCGGUGCUUCCUCCGCUUGUUCGCGAAAUCUCCCAAUGCCAUGGCAUGGAAUUUGAGCAUGACCUCUGAUACCUUGACCUGCAUGGUCAGCCAUAAUGCCCUGCGAUGCGCAAAGGUUGUGUUGCAGGGCAAGGCAUCUCGGCUCCAUGGUCUCCAUGCCAAUCCCAACUGCAUGAACCCGCACGGAUACUUUCCAAUCCAUGGAGCUCCUGAACGGUUCUCUGUUAACAUGAUCAAGUUGCUCUUCCGCCAUGGUGCUUCAGCCAAUGUUCGCACAGUCGGCGAUGCCGUCAUUCAGGAUUUACUCCCACUCCAUGUUGCGAUCGAGAAUGCUUGCAUGCAUAAGUAUCUGGAGGACAACCUCCUUCCUAUGCAGUAUCAUCCGGAUUAUAUAUACAAGCUCAUUCAUCUGUUGUGCCUACCUGAGAUGAAGAUCUACCUCGAUACGGUUAGGCUUCUUGCUGGAAAAACAGAUAAUCUAGUUCAUGAGAUCUGGAACUACAUUAUGAAUGGAAAGCUUGUUCAGCCUACAGUUUUACUGCUGGCAGCCCAAAAGCAGAUACGGAAGCAUGAUUGGUUUAAUACUAUCAUGUAUCAUAUAUUCAGAAAAACUUCUUUGAUAAGCUUUGGGAACGGUGAUAAUGGUCAGGCACGGAAGCAGAUGGAAGAAGUAUUUCAUCUUGUUAAUAUAAUUUCCCGUGCUGGUGAAGCUCUUGAUAAAUAUAUCCAGGCACAUUCAGAGGUGCCACACGCGGAGGUCCUUGAACAUGUCUCAACUAUACUGAAGGGAUUUGGAUUUUGCCCAGGAGGAGACUGUAUUAACAUUGGAAACCUGGCCCUGAUUACCUUUUUGCCAUGGACAUCAGGGCAUGUGGAUGGAACCAAGGAGCUUACAGAAAUGCCUUAUCUGCAUGCUGCAGAGCAGAAGGCUGUGAGAAAGAAAAUACCUGGAGGAUGGGAUCCAACAUACACCAUAAGAAGUUUUUUCCCGCAUUGGAGAUCAGUAUUAGGGGCCCGGUGUAAUGAUGGGAUCCAACAUCCACCCUAUACAGCAGCAGAUGAUGAGUCUCUGCUUCGUAGCGGAAUGAGCGAUGAGUCUUCAUUGAUUCAUAAUCAUAAUAUUGGGUUAGUUGGAAGAAUUCAGCAAUUUACAAGUACUCGUCAAUCAAGAAUGUACAGUACAUGUGCACUCAAAACACUGGCAAAGGUGCUAAAG